rnacentral:lncRNA from 1 species
UUUCACAUUAGUGCAUCCAAAAAAAAUGGUGGUGCCACACUAUUGGGUAAUAAAAGUAAUAGUUUUAUUUAUUUAUAUUAGUUUAUUUUUAUUUUGUUUGUAAUUUAUUAAUUCUUUACCUUUUUUAAAGAAAAAAUAAAAGAGUUAAUGAUUAUUUUAUUUAAUAGCAAAGUUGAAAAUAUAUAUUAAUAAAAAUAAAAAGAGGACAGAGAUACUAUAAAAAAAAAGAAGAAAUAAGCAAGCUACCAUAACAUAAAGCUAAUUCAACCACUUGAGUAAAGUACACUAAAAAAUAAUAGGCAUAUCAUUAAUAAUAUUAGGUGUAGGAGUUGUUAAAAAUAAUAGGCAUAUCAUUAAUAAUGUUAGGUGUAGGAGUUGUUAGUGUGUACAACAUGCUAAAACUACUCACACAAAUUGAUAAUUAGACUCAUUUUAAAUCUAUUUGUAAUGAUGGAGGUUUGAUAGUUAAUGG